rnacentral:lncRNA from 1 species
GCUUUGAUUCUGAGAAUUUGGGGGAGCUUUGGUAGAGCAGGAAGAAGCCUGCUUACUGUGUGGAGACAGCAGAUGUUGGCCUCCCUGGGCAAAGUUCAGAGUGAUGUGAAAGAGGACAAGCAGAGAGAAAAGAGCCUUGAUUCCCAUCCCAAACAGUGUUGACUCCUGACUCCUCCAUGUCAGGAGAGCCACCUCUAUCAUCCUUUGCCCUUACCUUCCAUCUUGUGUGUGUAUGUGUGUGUUGUGUGUGCGCGCGCGCGCACGCGUGUAACGCAGCACACUCCAGUUGGUUCUAUUUCCAGAAUAGAUCCAAUCCGCCCUCUCCAUCUCUGCUGCUCUUUCUAUAUCCCCCAUGUCCACUCAAGCUCUCCCUCCACUCUCUGCUCACAGGAGUCAGAGCCAUCUGCUUCAGAUGCAGUUCAGGUCAGCUCACUCUCCGACCAAACACCCUCUGAGGGCUCUGCCGUUGUGCUGAGAAUAAAAUCCAGACCCCCUGGAGGAACACGAGUCCACAGGUCCGACCCACCAGCCUCUGGCCUCAUUUUGUUCAGCUCCCUGUCCUAGCCCCAGACUGCUGGUUUCUACAGACCCAGCUCCUUCCAUCCAGGACGAGGCACAGGGUGUGCCCUGGGCUGUGGUGGAACCAGCCUUGCGGUGGAGGGAGCAGCCAGUGCACACACCCUGAGGAUGGAGAGAAGGAGCCUGUGCUGGCAGGCCUGUGGGGCUGUGAGAGGUGGCGAGGAGGGCAGACUGUCCUCUAGCACCUGGAGGGGGUUAGGCAGAGGGGUGGUUAUGGGGAAUAGACUGUGGGAAGCCAGCCUAGGUAGGAGUCUGACCUGUGGCAUGCCCUGGUGGCUUGUGGAGUAAAUGAUGGCUCUAGAUGUGGAGAGUGGAGGUGGGAAGAGGAUGCGCUCUUGCAGGACUGUCUCUGGGACGGCGCUGUCCUAUGAGCCUGGACCAGCGAAACACAGGGUGGGCGAGCCCAUGCCUCCCUCCUGCUGUACCCCCGGUGCAGUAGGACUGUGGACCCAACAGUCUUCUUCUCCAGGGGAGGGAGAGGGCAGAGGGCUGCCAGUGGAGCAGAGAAGCCGCAUCCAAGCUGUCAUGUGGGCUGUGGUUCAGGGUCCCUGGCUGGGCUGCUGCUGUGGCGGGAUCUCUGGAGUCAAGGGUUUGGAUGCAGAAGAGUGUUCGCCUUCUGCUUGCCGUGGUCCCGCUUCCUUGUUGGCCCUGAGCUGUCAGAGGGUGAGGAUGCUUGUCCUCGUGUCAGCAGGACCAGUCUUCCUGAUCUUUGCUCCCCACCAGACCAGGACCUCAGCCCCGGGAAGCUGGCUUGCUGCCAGUCAACAGUGAGGCUGUCAGGUGACGUUUUUGACUUAGGCUGACAGUAAAGUGCUGGCAUUUUGGUAUCUCCAAGCUGCAUGGCCGUCUUUUCCUUUUUCCAAAAUUUAAAGUCCUUUUUAGACAUUAAUUUUUUUUGAUUAUAAAAGUUGUAUGUGUUUAUAUAUAACAUCAGAAGUUAUAGAGAAGUAAAAGCAAUAAAUGAAUACCACCUAUAUUCCAACUACUAGAAAUAUAUUACAAUUGAGCAUGUUAUUAUUUCUUAUUGAUGUGGAAUAUAAAGUUAUCUAUCUCUAACUAUCCAUCUAUUUACGUAUCAAUCCAUGUGUAUAGGCAUAUGAAUAUCCAGAAUGGAUAUUGUUUAUUAUACCAUAAGUUUUUUCUAGCUAUUUCUUCGUUGGAUAUAAAGACUACAUCAGUUUUUCGCUAUCAUAGAUAAUGCUGUGAUAAAUAUCUUAGAGGCAUCAAAUUUUGUAUUUAUAUCUGAUUAUUUGCUUAAUGUUUAAUUCCUGAUGUGGAAUUUUUAAGAUUCUUGGCAGUACUACCAAAGGACCCCUUGAAUUGUACCAAGUUAUAUACUUUUUCCAGAAGUUAAAGAGAAGAUGUAUCAUUGGUGUCUGACUGCACGGGUGUCUGAUGAACAGGAAGCUCGGGGACACUGCCAGGGGAAGCUCUGCCCACGGCUGUGAAGAGGGUGACUACCUCUGGGCAGACGGCAGCCUAGCACAAUGCUUUGCCAAGUGACCAGGUAGAAGGAAUUAUGGAUUUUAGAAGGAACUGAAUAGAAGGGGCAAAAGACCACCACAGGGCCUGCAUCUUUUAAUUAGAGUCAUUUCAUUGGCAAUAAUUGAUCCCUUAAAUUGUAGGAGUUUGUUUGGUGUAUAUAAGAACACUUCGAGAAUUCUUUUUGUUCAGAGAAGCCUGCAUUCUUAGGUUUAGACAGGACCUCAAAAGAUCUGUCGUCCUCGGGCCGCCCCCAGUUCCCAUCCGGCCUGCUCAGUGGGUCAAGGAUUGCUGUCACCAUAAGCUGUGAUGCAGGUCGCAGACCAGACUUGGAUCUGGCAUUGCUGUGGCUGUGGUGUAGGCCGGCAGAUGCCGCUCUGAUUUGACCCUAGCCUAUGCUGAAGGUG